rnacentral:rRNA from 1 species
AUGAACGCUGGCGGCGUGCCUAAUACCUGCAAGUCGAGCGAACAGAUAAGGAGCUUGCUCCUUUGACGUUAGCGGCGGACGGGUGAGUAACACGUGGGUAACCUACCUAUAAGACUGGGAUAACUUCGGGAAACCGGAGCUAAUACCGGAUAAUAUUUCGAACCGCAUGGUUCGAUAGUGAAAGAUGGUUUUGCUAUCACUUAUAGAUGGACCCGCGCCGUAUUAGCUAGUUGGUAAGGUAACGGCUUACCAAGGCGACGAUACGUAGCCGACCUGAGAGGGGAAUGGGCCACAAGGAAAAUGAAACACGGUCCAAAACCCUAGGGGAGGAAGGAGUGGGGAAUUUUCCCAAAGGGGGGAAAGCCGGAGGGGGAAACGCCGGGGGAGGAAGGAAGGUUUUGGGACAGAAAAACUUUUUUAUUAGGGAAAAAAAAAGGGGAAAGUAAAGGGGCACGUUUUGAGGGUACCAAAUAAAAAAGCCACGGCAAACUACGG